CCUGGUUGAUCCUGCCAGUAGCAUAUGCUUGUCUCAAAAAUUAAGCCAAGUACACAAGACCGGUACAGUGAAACUGCGAUUGGCUCAUUAAAUCAGUCAUUGUUCUUUUGACUGCUCCAUCUGUCACUUGGAUAACUGUGGUAGUUACAAAGCUAAUACAUGCCGACGAGUGCUGACCUCAUGGGAUGCAUGCAUUUAUCAGACCACGACUAAUCUGGGCGAGCUCGGCUACUUUGGUGACUCUAUAUAACCUUGGGCCAAAUACAUUCGGCGACAAUACAUUCAGAUGAUGUCUGCCCUAUCAAUUUUCGAUGGUACUUUCUGUACCUACCAUGGUGACCACAGGUAACUGGAAAUCGGGGUUCGAUUCCAGAGAGGAAGCCUGAGAAACUGCUUGCACAUCCAAGGAAGGCAGCAGGGAUGCAGAUUACCCACUCCCGACUCGGGGAGGUAGUGACGAAAAACAAUACAGGACUCUUUUGAGACCCUGUAAUUGGAAUGAAUACACUUCAAAUCCUUUAACGAGGGUCCAUUGGAGGGCAAAUCUGGUGCCAGCAGCUCAGUAAUUCCAGCCCCAAUAGCAUAUAUUAAAGUUGCUGCUGUUAAAAAGCUUGUAGUUGGCGGUAUGGCGUGAGGCGAGCUACUGCCUGUCCCAGCCCGUGCCUCUCGGCGCCCCCUUGAUGCUGUUGCAAAAAGAGUGUUCAAAGCAGGCCGAUUGUCUGAAUACUUCAUCUAGGAAUAAUGAAAUAGGACUCUAAUUUGUUGGUUUUUGGAGCUGGCGCCAUGAUUAAGAGGGACGGCCUGGGGCAUUCGUAUUGAGGGACAUUCUUGGAUCGGGGCAAGAUGAACCAAAGCAAACGCAUUUGCCAAGAAUCUUUUCAUUAAUGAAGAAUGAGUCGGAGGUUCAAAGACUAUCAGAUACUGUCCGAUUUCCGACCAUAAACUAUGCCAACUACUGAUGCAGCUAGUUAUUCCCAUGACCGACAGUGCAGCUUCUGGGAAACCAAAGUCUUUGAGUUCCAGGGGGAGUAGUAGCCGAAACUUAAAGGAAUUGACGUAAGGGCACUACCAGGAGUGGAGGCCUGCGGCUUAAUUUGACUCAACAUUGGAAACCUUGCCUGGACACGGAAAGGAUUGACAUAUUGAUGGCGCUUUCUCGAUUCUGUGGGUGGUGGUGCAUGGGCGUUCUUAGUUGAUGGAACAAGACUCCUCCAUGUUAACUAGUUUUGCAACCCCCAGCAGUCUGUGUUGAACUCUUAGAGAGAUAAGUGGCAUUCAGCCACACGAGAUUGAGCAAUAACAGGUCUGUGAUGCCUUAGGUGUCCAGGGCUACACACACGCUACUCUGAACUGAUCAGCGUGUCUCUACCCUUCCCUGACAGUUGCGGGUAACCUGCUGAAUCCAGUUUGUGAAAGGGAUUGGGGAUUGCAAUAAUUUCCCAUGAACUAGCAAUUCUCAGUAAAUGUGGGUCAUAAGCGUGUGUUGAUUAAGUCCCUGCCUUUUGUAUACACCUCCCAUCGCUACUACCGAUUGGAUGAGAGAGAGGACAGAGAGGAGAGAGAGGAGAGAGAGACACAGACAGACAGACAGGGCGGGUGUCUAGCUUCGGCCGCCCACCAUGGUGAGUGAUGGCCA
rnacentral:rRNA from 1 species